GCCCCCGUAGCUCAGUAAGGAUAGAGCAGCGGUUUCCUAAACCGCGUGUCGCGUGUUCGAGUCACGCCGGGGGCA
rfam:Latescibacteria bacterium DG_63 WOR1_52_54_106, whole genome shotgun sequence.